rnacentral:snRNA from 1 species
GGACGGCUAGGCAAGUAUCCCCUUCCUCCUUCACUAUUCAAGUGAGUUCCUCUCAGAGCUGCAUGUUCUGUGCAAAACAAUGAUUUUCCCCAAUAGAGGAGCACCAUUCUUGGGUCAAGGGGAUCUGAGUAGCUGUGCAUCCUUGCUAGAACUUCCAAAUAAGCCCUCAGGUGCUGGUGGCCAUGUCAGAGGAGUAGCAAGUAGCAGUUGAAGUUCAAGGUGUCAGCCCACCAGGAGGAAACUCUCU